rnacentral:rRNA from 1 species
GGCGGAAUGCUUUACACAUGCAAGUCGAGCGGCAGCGCGGCCUUCGGGCUGGCGGCGAGCGGCGAACGGGUGAGUAAUGCAUCGGAACAUGCCCAGUCGUGGGGGAUAACACUUCGAAAGAAGUGCUAAUACCGCAUACGUCCUGAGGGGGAAAGCGGGGGAUCGCAAGACCUCGCGCGAUUGGAGUGGCCGAUGUCAGAUUAACUANUUGGUGGGGUAAAGGCCUACCAAGGCGACGAUCUGUAGCUGGUCUGAGAGGAUGAUCAGCCACACUGGGACUGAGACACGGCCCAGACUCCUACGGGAGGCAGCAG